UAAUUUACUUACAUGUAUACAUAUAUACCUAUGCUACAUAUAUACCAUAUAUAAGCUGUUUCAGAAACUCUCCAAAAACUAUCUCAUGUUUAACUUUGUUACUGAAAUUUUGUCUGUACAGAUGCCCUCCUUCCCGAGCAACACUUUGUGGCUUACAAAUCUGUUUUCUCAUAUUUGGCAGUACUUGCACAGAGAGCCAUAAAUAAUUUUGUACAUUAGAAAACAUUUCAGUAUCUCUUUAGGCCAGUAUACAUCAUACUUUUUGACCCAUUGUAUCAUUUUACAGAAGAUUUGUUAGUAUUAAUUGUUCACUUAAAAAAAAAUAGUUCCUGUUACCUAAAAAGAGGCAAAAUUUUAAUGUAGCAGGAAUCUUUACCGGUAGUUUAGACUUACCUAUAGUAAUUUGCAUGUUUAGAAGUUGAGCAAGAGCAGUUUUUUAUUUUGAUUUUUGAUAUUGUUGAAGGUACAGACUCAUAAUAUUCUCAUCCUAAUAGUGUAAUAAGAGACUUUUUCACCAGUACUCUCCUCUCCCCACAUACCGGGGGACUUAAUCUCCAGUUCUUUUUUAAUUCUGAGAUAUUGUAAUGCUUAGUUGUUAACACUGCCAGGCAAUUUAACCUCCUGCUUAGCCUCGUAGAGUGCUGUGGUUACAGGCAUGUGCCACCACGCCCAGCUUCUAUUAGCUUCUGAUGUUAUUGGGCUGUUUGGUUGGUAAUUUAUCAUAUAUCAUUUUAAACAAUUCUCAUUUGAAUUAUGAUAAUCAUUUAAUUGCAUUAAAAUAGCCAGUGUCUUUACAAAGCACACUUCUUUUCCUCUAAGGACAGCUAAGCUUCUGUAAUCCACAAGUGACUCAUUGACUUGCACAGUCCUUCCAAGAUUGCUAAGGAGAGUAUUUCCAUCUGUAUGGAGCUAGGAGUUGAGGUUGAAGUCAUCACUGCAGUUUGUGUGCAUCUUUCUGCUUUAGCUGCGCUGGACCACUCAUCAUCCUGCACGAAAGCAUGCACUUCCAAGAUUCUGCUUGCUCAUAUGCUGUUUGCUCUGCUUGGAAUGCGCUUCCCCCUUCCCUUCCGUUUGGUGAACUCCUCCUCCUCCACGGCCCAGCUCCGUUGUCUUCAUCCCUGGAAAUCCUGCCCUGCAUUCUCCAGGCAGAACCAGUUCCUUCUUGCUUCCCUGAUGCUUUGCUGUUGUAUUUGUGGCUGCUUGCUUUAGUUAGACUGUGAGCUCCGUGAGGGCAGGGACCUUGCCUUUUUUGUUUUUGUAUAUGUAGUCCAAAGCCUAGCCACACGGUAGGUACUUAAUAAAUGUUUUUUGAUGUUUAUUUAUUUAAUAUCAGUCUCAUUCUUUAAAGUUCUUAGUGAUAAUAAAUGUUUAUUAAAUAAAUUAAUAUUAAAUAAAUUAACAUUCUUUUGGAAA